AGCUAAUGCACAAUAAUAUUGCAUAAUAAACCUUCCCAAGUGUCAACAGCUUACAACAACCAGUAUCUGUUCUUAUUUUAUGGGUCUGUUCAUCACCUACAGUUUAGCUUGUCUAGACUGGCAGAGCAUAAUGAUUAUCUAGACAUUAACUGUAUCCCAUCUUUUAUGGUCCAGUAUAGGCACAUUAACUCCAGAUUUAUUGACUAUUUUUAACAUAUGCAAAAAAAAAAGUCCAAGCCAAACAAUGAACAGGAAGCAAGGUGAGUUUAUUUUAUAGGCGGCAAUCUUCAUAGGUUUGAACUGUGUGUACAAACUGCUUGAAGGUAAAAUUACCUUUUUUUCUGGAUAUAGGACCACUUAUACAACGCACUUAACCUACUCUCCUCUUCCUCAGAAAACUGGAUGGUGUGUUCAAGAAUCAGUCCUUGGGAAUAUUGUUGGUGAACAUGGCAGAGGUGUUGUCUUCCAGGAAGGGACAAGCAGAGCAGUGCUUCAUCUUACAUCUACCUGUCAUGAGCUGAAUUCUGGACCUCCCGCUAAAAUCAGCUGUACCUUCAGACCAAAAAAUUCCUUGUUUCUCUGCUACCACAUUCCUUACACUAAGAAAACAACAACAAAAAGAUUCCUCCUCUAUGAUCAAGAAGCAGCAUAGAUGCUCAGGUAAAAAUUUUCAGAUUCAAGUUCUAAUUCCAGGCCUGUUCCCCAUUCAAUAGCAAUUCUGUGAAAAUUAUAGGGGAAAAGGUCAGUAUGUAACACUUCUACAAAUGUACCUACUUAUAUUUCACAUCAUUUCCUGCAAUUUCUAAGUGUCAUUUUUAUCCACAAAUGAGUAAUACUUUCAUCCCACAAAAAAAUCACAUGUUUUCUGAUUGCAAGGUGGUACAGCAAUUACUCUGAGUCUAUUUACUUAUUUCUUGUUUGUUUUUUAAUAUAUACCAGCUGAGGAGUCUGGCUCCAGGCAAAAAUCCUACAUGAUCUUUCAGCCUGGCCACUGGCAUUCAUAAGACUUUACUUAGCAGGCCUCGUGGGGGAAAGCUGUCCUCCCCAUCCCAGACUUGGGGCUUUGUGGUUUGCUGGAGGAAGCUUCAGUAAAGGACUCAGGAGCAGGUACUUACACUCAGAGGGCGUCUUGCUGGAGGCCUCUGCUGGGACGCUUCCCAAGAGCUUUUGCCAACCCCUCCUCACAGGGGGCCCUCACUUAUGUACUUUUCCUCACUCUGACUCAGUUUUUCUUCACUCCUAGCUCUUUCCCGCUCCCAGGGCUCAUCAAAAGGCAGGAGCUUCUUCUUCAGGAUCCUCAGCAGUAAGAUGAGUCCGUGAUGUAUACUUCAUGCCUUCUGACCCAAGCUGGGCACCUUUUCAUGGGAAACAUGGAACAUGACAGAGCUGGUGCAUCUAGAUGAGCUGACGAGCUCCAAGACCAAGCAUUUGCUGAGAAAAAGUCAUGUGAGCACACAGUGAGACAAUAACUGCCUGCAACCCCCAAGGAGAGCCCUCACCACACACCAACCUUGCUGGCACCUUGGUCUCAAACUUCCAGUCUCCAGAACUGUGCUAGCCAUCUUCAGGACAGAACUCUCUCAUGAUGCUAGGCAGCAGCAGGAGUGAGCCACAGCUCCCAGUCAGCUUCCAGGUCACCAAAG